AAACAGAGAAACUUAGUGCUAUUGAGAGCCCCACAAAUAAAAGAGUCAGGAGCUUGCUUCUUUUUUACCUGACGGGAAAGGUUUGAUUUCGGCAAAGACAAGGAUACGGUGGUGUUCAUGGUGGCGGUGGAGGCGGAAGCUGCCUCAGAGAUGGAAGCAGCGAGGAUUCCAGUUUUCUUCAUGUCGUUUUCUUACUUUGCUAUAAUAAAAUUUGCAACCCUGAGAGUUUCUUGAGCCAUGUUAUGUCAAAUGAGCGUGGAACAAAUGCAAAAGAAAAGGGCUAUUUGGUCAAAGAAUAACCAUAAAAAGAAGUGGACUUUAAACCUUGGAGUUAGAACCACACAAAGAGGUACAUGAUUGUCGAUUGGUUGAUCUUUUAAUGGAAAUGUGUGCAUCAUUGGUUGCUAAGCAACCUUAGCAACCCACGUGUUUGGACAUUCCUGCUUUUGUUAGUUGGUGUUUUGAAAAUGUAAAUCAACUUCUCUAUUAUGGAUAGUCUAAGAUAAGUUUUUAUUUGGAUAUACGAUACGAUAAGGUCAGGACACUAGUGACGGGGGAACAAUGGCAUUGAACAAGUGGAUCUGAUUAUUAUUAUUAUUAUUUUUUUUUUUGGUAUAACCAGGAUGGGUUCAGGCUUUCGGCCUUAAUCCCUCUAUGCCCAGAGCCAGCCUUUGUCUGUACCUGUUACGGUCCUGGACACUCUUCCCCGUUCGAGACUCGAACUCGUGACCUCUCAGACAAAUGCCUGAGGUAUUACCAGUUGAGCUAGUUCGUCCGGAUGAUUAUUUUGCUUUUGCGUAAAUCUCAAAUGCAAAUUGAUAAACUGAUUUGUGGCAAAAAACCUUAACACAUCUAACUCCAUAUGGUUUUCUCA